rnacentral:rRNA from 1 species
GAUGAACGCUGGCGGCGUGCCUAAUACAUGCAAGUCGAGCGAACGGACGAGAAGCUUGCUUCUCUGAUGUUAGCGGCGGACGGGUGAGUAACACGUGGAUAACCUACCUAUAAGACUGGGAUAACUUCGGGAAACCGGAGCUAAUACCGGAUGAUAUUUUGAACCGCAUGGUUCAAAAGUGAAAGACGGUCUUGCUGUCACUUAUAGAUGGAUCCGCGCUGCAUUAGCUAGUUGGUAAGGUAACGGCUUACCAAGGCAACGAUGCAUAGCCGACCUGAGAGGGUGAUCGGCCACACUGGAACUGAGAAACGGUCCAGACUCCUACGGGAGGCAGCAGAAGGGAAUCUUCCGCAAUGGGCGAAAGCCUGACGGAGCAACGCCGCGUGAGUGAUGAAGGUCUUCGGAUCGUAAAACUCUGUUAUUAGGGAAGAACAUAUGUGUAAUUAACUGUGCACAUCUUGACGGUACCUAAUCAGAAAGCGACGGCUAACUACGUG